rnacentral:rRNA from 1 species
UCAACGGAUAAAAGCUACCCCGGGGAUAACAGGCUUAUCUCCCCCAAGAGUUCACAUCGACGGGGAGGUUUGGCACCUCGAUGUCGGCUCAUCGCAUCCUGGGGCUGUAGUCGGUCCCAAGGGUUGGGCUGUUCGCCCAUUAAAGCGGUACGCGAGCUGGGUUCAGAACGUCGUGAGACAGUUCGGUCCCUAUCCGUCGUGGGCGUAGGAAAUUUGAGAGGAGCUGUCCUUAGUACGAGAGGACCGGGAUGGACAUACCUCUGGUGUACCAGUUGUCGUGCCAACGGCAUAGCUGGGUAGCUAUGUGUGGACGGGAUAAGUGCUGAAAGCAUCUAAGCAUGAAGCCCCCCUCAAGAUGAGAUUUCCCAACUUCGGUUAUAAGAUCCCUCAAAGAUGAUGAGGUUAAUAGGUUCGAGGUGGAAGCAUGGUGACAUGUGGAGCUGACGAAUACUAA